GACGAACGCUGGCGGCGUGCUUAACACAUGCAAGUCGAGCGGUAAGGCCCUUUCGGGGGUACACGAGCGGCGAACGGGUGAGUAACACGUGGGUGACCUGCCCUCAGCUCUGGGAUAAGCCUGGGAAACCGGGGCCUAAUACCGGAUAUGACUCCAUGACGCAUGUUGUGGGGUGGAAAGCCUUGUGCGGCUGAGGAUGGGCCCGCGGCCUAUCAGCUUGUUGGUGGGGUGANGGCCUACCAAGGCGACGACGGGUAGCCGGCCUGAGAGGGCGACCGGCCACACUGGGACUGAGACACGGCCCAGACUCCUACGGGAGGCAGCAGUGGGGAAUCUUGCGCAAUGGGCGAAAGCCUGACGCAGCGACGCCGCGUGA
rnacentral:rRNA from 1 species